rnacentral:rRNA from 1 species
GCGUGGGUGAAGAAGGUCUUCGGAUUGUAAAGCCCUUUCGGCGGGGACGAUGAUGACGGUACCCGCAGAAGAAGCCCCGGCUAACUUCGUGCCAGCAGCCGCGGUAAUACGAAGGGGGCUAGCGUUGCUCGGAAUGACUGGGCGUAAAGGGCGCGUAGGCGGAUUGUACAGUCAGGCGUGAAAUUCCCGGGCUCAACCUGGGGGCUGCGCUUGAGACGUGCGAUCUUGAGUGGGGAAGAGGGUCGUGGAAUUCCCAGUGUAGAGGUGAAAUUCGU